rnacentral:rRNA from 1 species
UACGGGGGGGGCAAGCGUUAUCCGGAUUCACUGGGUUUAAAGGGUGCGUAGGUGGGUAAGUAAGUCAGUGGUGAAAUCUCCGGGCUUAACCCGGAAACUGCCAUUGAUACUAUUUGUCUUGAAUACUGUGGAGGUCAGCGGAAUAUGUCAUGUAGCGGUGAAAUGCUUAGAUAUGACAUAGAACACCAAUUGCGAAGGCAGCUGGCUACACAAAUAUUGACACUGAGGCACGAAAGCGUGGGGAUCAAACAGG